rnacentral:lncRNA from 1 species
AGAACUCUUCUCUCCUUUAAAAGACAAAUCUUCCUUUACAUAAAUCCAUAAUUGGGACCCAAGCGGUUUGGCAGUAUUUGGAAAACUUAAAUAAUUGAAGUGUCAUAUGCGGUAUAAAUUUACCAACUGUUGGUAUACAUUUUAUCAAUAAUUUAUCAUUUUUUUAUGAUUCUGGUCUUAUUAUAGAUAUUUUUUAUGGUAGUGUUAGUAUACUCUAUUGCACUCACUAGGGCUUGUCCCAAUGAUCACACCCUGUUGCUUAACGAGCAAAGGUUCUGUGUUCAACUCAUAUAGAUGGAUUUUCGAGUAUUUGGAUUUAGAUAAUUAUAAUGCAGAUGAGUCUCCAUCAUGUGCACUCCCUCAAAAAAUGAUGGGUGCUCGCAUCUAAUUAAAAAUUGAAAGCUGCUUUCUCGCAUUUCAAACCGCAUCAAUGGCUCAUGAGAUGGGAACUAAACUGUGCCAAAAGAUGUGGGCCAAUCUCAUAGAACAGCUUGUCCACAAGCUGUGUCAUCUUAUCACCUACACAAAGCCUUCACAAUCCACCAUGUGAGUGUCCCCAAAGAAUGUGAUAGGCUCAGCUUGCUCUUGGCCAUGCAGUCUCUUCAGUGUCAUUAGCCAUCCCUUGGGCCACAUUGCCAUUAGCUUCAUGCACUGAUGAUGUUUCCAGACCUCAGAGCCCCACAUUUUUAAGGCCAUUCGCUUCACCAGCACUGCCACUCAUACCAAUCCUUUUUUGAGUGCUUGUGGUGUGUCUUGGUUCCCCACCUGAGGACGUUGGAACCAAGGGGUACAAUUAUGUAACGUAGGCAGGCUAUUGGCCGUGGGAUUUUAAUUAAUAGAUGUUUGCAUCGCUCUAACUCCAUAGCAAACAUAUUGGGACAGGAUGGGAUUAGCAUGUCUGAGACAUGCUGCCUAGUUUUACGGAGUGCCAGAAGAACUACAUUAAAUGAAAUUCUUUCGUGGGACAACUGAGAAAGCUGGGUGUUUAAUUACUAUGAGUUACUUUUUUUUCCCUUAAAAACGAAGAAAAAAGCCUAACUCCAUGAAAUAGAAUCAUGAAUCUAGAAAGUAGGAGCAUGAAAUAAUUAGUUUUCCAUUAAAGCUUAUUUUCUAGCUGGAAGUACGUAACAUAAGAGUUACGCAGGUUCUAAACCUAUAGUUUUUCUAUACUAUAGCAACUAAGGAAAAUAUCCAUGAGUGGUUGUUCAGAUUAGAAAUAUCCAAAAGUUAAGAGCUUAUUUGGAUUUUUCUAUAUGAUUGGAUUGAAAAUCUUAUAGGAUUCGUAGAUUAGGUCAAUACAACCAGCAAAAUCAUAAACUAUAUAUUGAGCUAGGCCUAUAUUCAUAAAAUACGUAGAAACAACUUUAGAAUGAACUGACCCGAAUCUCAUGAAGAAGAAGAAUUAAGAAGAAGAAAAAGAAAAAAAUAAAGAACCUCAACAGGUAAUCCUAUACAUGGUAAUGCCGGUAAAUUUUGUAGUUAACCGUUAAGGAGUUUAUUCUUUUAUGAUAACUUCUAAGAUGCCACCAUACACAUGCAUAGUUUGAGAAAUUUUGGCCAUGCCAUCACGAGGGAUCGAAGUUUCACGUUUCAUGAUCUCAUCAAGAAGACCAAAAACAAAGCACUAGUAUUAGCGAAAAUAAAAACUAAUUCUUAAUGCAUUGAGGAAGGUAGGGGUUGUGAUUCCAUUAAAUUAUUAAAGUUUUCUCGAUUAUUUACAUGGACCGAUCAUAGCAACUCAUUUCCACAUGCAGUCAAAGAAUGAAAGCAGAUCUCAAGCAAUAGAUAUGAGCAAAUUCUUUAAAAAAUAACUAUUUAUGUUUAUGGACGAAACAAAUCACGAGAUGGACAGAUGAAGAUUAAGAAGAUAUGAGAGCUGAUCAUGUUGGUGUAGGAAAAUGGGUGGCCCCAUCAUGAUCCCAAAUUCACAUCUACAUCCUCUUGGUAUGUCUUAUGUAUCAUAAGGCCUUCAGUUUGACCAUGCUCCUAAAAUUUUUGAAACAACAAGAACAUGAAGAUCUAUCUGGUGGACUGUUUCUCAUGGUCCAUAUGAAAACAAAGCUCCUCAAAAGAUAUUUUCAUGAAGGACCUUAUCCUUCUUUUCUUAAAACUCUCCUCAUGCCACGGUUUUAGAGGUGGUGUUUCUAAAUUCAAGAGCAAGCUUUCAAACACAAGGUCCUAAAGGAGUGAGGAAAGGUAAACAAAGCCAAAGUGAUCGUUAUCCAACAACACCUCUCAACAUUUCUUUAUAAAUUUUUUGCCCCCUGCUUUGUAAGCCAUAAAGGUUGAGCCAACUUAUAGUAACAUGGAGGUUAUUACACUGUCGACAAACUAAAAUAUCUUUCUCUUUGAGGAUGUUGAUUAGUCCUAGUUGGUUACUUAAACAAAUAGAAAACGUUUUGAAAAUUGAUGUGAUGUAUUUUCUCAUAGAAAAAUAGUGUUAUGAUCGAUAUAGAUUUGGGAUGGCACAUCUCAUCCAAUUACGCCUUGACAAAUCGAGCUGCCAAGGAGGAAAAAAAAUAAAAUUAUUACUGUUUCAAAAAAAUAAUUAAGUUGUUUGUUCAACUAAAAUGUCUUUUUGAAGCGAAAGUUCAACUAAAAUGUCAAAAUCUUCGGAUGGAAACUCGGAUAAUCUAGUGAAAUGAAAGUAGAUUAAUCAGAUUUUUUUUUUUUUUUCAAAAGCUAGCUAGAGAAAAAAAUUUGCAAGUUUCAAAUUGAUCCCUUAAUUUUUAUCAUAAGGAACAAACUAGACCACCUCAAGAACCAUAUAUUUUUCAGUACUACUUAUUUUGAAAAACCGGCACCAACCACAUAAUUGAAAGCACAACAUGUAGAGUAUAGAAAACCUUAUAUUCUUUCUAGCCAAUACAGCCUACAACCGAUGUUCACCAUUAGUAGGUUGAAUCCAUUAUAGUUUUAGAAAAUUUAGCUCAUUAUAUAUGUGAUAUGGAUGGCAAGGUCGAAAUUAAAUUAAAAAAAAAUAUAUACACAUUAGAUAAAGAUCCUAUAGGUCAUCUAUAUUUGGCCGGUAUAAUAGGUUUACGAGCUAGAUGGUGAGUUACAAUCGGAUUUCAAUCCUUAUGAAUCAAGUUCUGAGUUAAUUUGAUGAGGCACAAUACAACAUCUUAAGAUUGGUAAAAUCUUUUUUGAGAAUAUGAGAUUGGUAAUAUAUAUUAUAUCUAUUCUAUUCUUUUUCAUAUAUAUAUAUAUAUAUAUAUAUAUAUAUAUAUAUAUAUAUAUAUAUAUAUAUAUAUAUAUAUAUAUAUAUAUAUAUAUAUAUAUAUAUAUAUAUAUAUAUAUNNNNNNNNNNNNNNNNNNNNAUCGAUAAAUAUAGAGAAAAAGUUGUAAUGAAUAAACAAAAAGAUGACUGGAAUAACAAUGCGGAGUGCAUUCUACUUUAUAAGGAUUGAAAAGAUUAAAGAUGUGAGGGAUCGAAAGAGGCCAUGUACAUGAACCAAAGAAUCUCCUCCCAAAUUUACUUUGUGGCGGAGAAUCGGAUCCCCAUUGUUUCUUUUUUAUAAAAUUCUCCUAUAAAUAAUACUCAUUGUUGGCCAAGGUUCGUCUAUUGGCCGUCGUUGUCAUGCGAUUGGCCAUCACCUCCAUCCACCAUCUCGUCUUUUCAACUCCACGUUCGCUCAUAUUCCUGACCUUAUGACCUCGACCACAGUAUCCGUGGGCCGACCUUUUGGGUCACCCAAUAGCAUCAUGCCAUGUGCCACGAGAAUAUGUUCUUUUAUUUUUACCUACUCUUGCUUGCAUGAAGGUAGCAAUGCCCAUCGUAACAGCAUGCAUGAUGUGAUGGAUUGAUCCAAUUUCAACAUUUAGCUUGUGACAGAGAAUGAGUAAUCUUUUGUACAUCGCACUCAAUGACGAAAAAAUACAUCAUUUGAUGUGGUUGGAUCAUAUUAUCGUUAUUUUCUAAUAUAUAUUUAAUAUAAAUUUUUAUUUUUUAAUUUAAAAUUUUGAAUGAUAAAAAUAUUUUUUUAAAAAAAAUAAUGACAUCUUAUAUGAUCAUAUUAUGACAUCAUGCGGUAAAAUUAUGAUUUUCUAUUCAUAAUUUAGUCACAUGAUGUCAUAAAAAAGAGAAAAUUAUUUUUAUUAUUUAAAAAUAUCAUAAAUUUUUAAUAAUAAAAAUAUUUUUUUUUCUUUAUGAUGUUUAAAAUAAAUUAUAAUUUUUUGUGUGCAGGAAAUCAUAAUUUGAUCUAAGGAUGUCAUAAUAUGGUCACAGAAUGUCAUAAUUUUUUUCAUAACAAAAAGAAUAUUUUUAUCAUUCAAAAUUUUAAAUAAAAAAAAUAUAACUGCAGAUAUUAAAUAUACUAUUAAAUGCAUGUUGAAAAGUGAUGGCUAUGUGCUCUAAGGUGGUUGGAUGGUGCACUUCACAUAAUUUUUAUUACACUGCAUGCGGUGCAUAAAGAUUUUCUCGAUGAAAAAUAUAAUGUCCAUAUAAACUAGCAUAUUCUAUUACUCAUGCCGUAAUGCAAUUCUCUUGCCAACUAUGGUUAUGAAAUUAUUUCAAAAAAAAAAAAAUCUUUAGAAUAGGAGAGGGAUGGAAAAAGUUGAUUGAUCUAUAUUUAUAGACAAACAUGAAGUCUAGCCUUAAGAUCAAAUGAAUAGGAAAAAUCAAAUAUAUUAUUUUUUUUCCAAAAGAAUGUCAUGUAUAUGAUGAAGAUAAUAGAAGUUCAAUAAUAGAGAAGAUGCUUAGGGUUUUUUUUUCUCUUUUUUUUUUUAAGGAACGGGAUAUAGCUGGCCAAUUUUAUUGAAAAACUGAAACUAUUUACAAAGGUUGAAAGUUUAUAGAAAAACAAAGAUUACUAUGAAUAAAUUAUUUACUAAGAUUUUAAAUCUUAAUAGUGUCAUUUCAACCAUAUUUUUUGAAAAUAUUAAAAAAAUAUAAAAGUCAGUUCCUCCCUCCUGAAAAAUGCAAUGGUAAAAUAUCAUAUAUAAUUAUGCAACAACUGAUUUUAUUGAAUUAUAUAUCAAUUGUACUUUAAUUUUGUAGUGCUAAUAAAAUUGAUCUAAUAUAUUAUCACAUUAUCAUUACCAAAUGCUCAUGAUGAUCUAACACUCACCACCAAUUAAUAAACAACACACCAAAGAUCUAAAGUUAGGUAUAUUAUUUAUAAAUAUGAUACCAAACUCCUAGAAUAGUUUACAUCUAAUGCAUGGCAGAUAGACCUAGUGCGAGGGUCCAUUCUAUUCAUAACAACAAGCUCUAAGAUUUACCAACUCUCUCAUACAAAUAUUUGCUAGUUUUAAAUAUAAAUGUCCUUAUUUUAGAAGUAAUAUCUUUAUUUUUUUUAGAGAAGAUCCCUCGACUUAUAAAAGGACAUCAUGACAGUGUCCACUACCGUAUACCCAGCCAGUAGCCACAGACCUAGUGUGCUUUUGCGACAUAUUCUAGCUAGUAUGAUAAUCAAUCACUACCAAUAUAAAUUUAAGUAUCUUCCUGGAUGAGUCUAUCUAAAUAUUAUGAUCAUCCAUCCUCAUCAUGUCAUUGUUUGACCUUGCAAUAUCAUAGCACAAUAACAGUACCAUUAUGAAAACCAUAUGCAUGCAUGGUUUGCUAAUGGAGGUAUAUCAAACUAUCCCAAAUAUGCUGGUGUCAUAGGACUCUUUCCCAUUAAAGGAUAAAAAAUAAAAGAAAGAAAAAACAAAUAUGGAAUUGGAAUAUGUCAUAUAAAAAGAUGAUUAUUAAAUAACAUCCAUCUCAUGUUCUGAAUGCUCAUGAAGGAAUAAUUUUUUUUGGAUAUAUAUAUAGCAGGGCAUCUAUAAGUUUUGUGCAGCUUCUCCAGCCAAUUAAUUGGUGGUGGACGGUUCCAAAAUUUGUUAAAACAUCCUUUCCACCAUGCAAGGCCAGCUAUUUAUGCUUUUAAAAAUCAAUUAACAGGCUGGAUCAUCCCACAUGUAACAUCAAUAUGUAUCAUUUAAACUAUCCAAUGAGAUGGCUCAUGUGGAAGUUGACAUUGGAUUUUAAUGGUGCAAGAUAUUUGUAUAACAAUUCCUUGUCAUCGUUCACUGCCUUUUUUUUGAAUAAAAAAAGAAAUAUGUUAGAACUAGCGAGUUCACCCACACUUCUAUUGUAAGCGGGGAUCAUGAACUGCUUUGGAUUGUACGUUCACAGGGAUUCAAUAACAGUAAACUCAUUUUUAUAUUAGGUUUGGUUCUCAACCUUGGCCAAGUUCUUUUGUUUUAUUAAAAAAAUGACGAAGAUAAAGGACAUAUUAGGUAUGUGGAAACGUAUGCCCGUGUUCGUACGUCGCAAGCCAACUCUUAGGCAUCCUUAACCAAUGCAUUCAUCGUUAGCUUUGAUGCUUAAACUUAUUUGUAAACCCUAAAUAACAUCUUGAUGGUAUACUUUUGUUGCUUUGUUUAUUUGGUAGGAAAAGACAGGCAUGAGCAGACAAGUUAAAGAUUCUACCUUCUUAAUUAUAAUUAAUGAUGUGUACUGAGAAAACAAUGAUGAGAUCGUAAUAAUUUGGAUUAGUAAAUAAUGCAAACGACCUAACGAGAGCAUAGACACCUGAGAGAUAUGUGGGGCAUGUUAGGAUUGCUUUAAAAUGUAGAAUAUAUGGGUGCAAUGCUUGAAACAUUAAAUUUACUACAUCUUAGCAACAAGAUUUUUGUUUGGGGUUGGAGGACAAAAUGUAGCAUCGAGAAAUGAAUCCAUCAAAAUUAUGAAAGAAUGCAAUAUAUAUAUAUAUAUAUAUAUUCAAGCACAACAAUUCAAAAUCUCAUCCACGAAGUGUUUGCAGUAUUUUGUUCUUAGGUUUGGUAUCCAGAGGGAAAGAGAUGCAACCUCUACCAAAAGAAGUAACGGGAACUUGGGGCCAACCAUAUAAGCCUAGCUUUUGAUUAUGGUGGAGUGAUCAUUGUUUUAUUCUAUUAAACUUGGAAGGCACAUUCAAGCUGGAUGAAUUGACCUUCUUUUAUUGAGUAAUGCUCCCCUUUCAAUUGGAUAAGACUUUUUGUGGUUGUCAUGCUACUCCAUUAGUUGUAAUUAAAUCAUGAGAUAUGCUAAUUGUUAAAUUAUCGAUGAGUCGAUCACUAGGAAAUAAUUCAAAGAAUCAUUAAACAAUCAUGAAUAAUUGAAGAAUAUUUCAAUAACUCAAAAAUAUGAUAUGUAGGGAACCUGAUCGUGCAUUAUGGCAUCAUCUAGACCAAUGUCCACCUAAAAUUGAUUCAUCGGCCCCGGCUGUGUACAUGAUUGGCCAGUGCUUGACACUGACAAGCAAAAUAGAAGCAAUAAUCUUAAUUGAACACAAUGACCUAAAUUUUGUCGUAGAACUCAAACAAAUUAAAAGAAAUAAUGCAGUGGUUUCUUGGUCCAAGAGGAAAUCUUGGUGCAAUUAAUGCCUCUUAUCUCUAUGGAUAUUGAGGGGCACAAAUCUGAUGCCAGCCUUGGAGGAAGACAUUGAAGGAACAACUCCAUGUGCCAAGUAUAUUUAGCAGUGGUGUAUAUUGAGUCACAAAAAGUUGUCUGAAAUCAAAACAAAAGGGAUAUCAAAGUUGUCACAACAUAAUUUGUCAAGAUGCGGCUGUGCUUAUCUCAAUUCCUUGGUUCUUGACUCAUCCCUUUCGGCACUUGAACUCACUUUUUAUAGUAGAACACUUUAUUUUGUCAAUUAUUUGAUUCCCUGAAAGAUUGCUUAGGGAACUAACUACAUGCUUGGUAUCUCCUAUCCUCGAUGAUCUGUCUUGCUUCUUGCAUGAAGCAAAACAUUAGGCAUAAUUGUUCAUGAACUCAACUCAAGCUGACCAACUCAUGCACUCGCUGAUUGUCAGAGUGAUUGAAAUGGGAGCAUCUGGAUAUCUGCAAAUAACGCAUCAUUUUGAUGCCUUUGGUUCUUCUAGCAAUUAGCAAGGAAACUAAUGCUACAUGCGCCUGGAAUAUAAAAAGAGAAGGAAUCAAUUACUACAUAAAAAAAAAUGUUGUCAUUAUACAUUUAUACCUAACAAUUAUUACUUUUUGUCGAAUGUUAUUAGUCACUCAAUUUGAAUCUAAGGCUACCUAAUGGAGAUAAAGUGUCAUCUCUACGAGGGUCUUGUUCAAAAGAAUUUUAAAAUCAUCUAAUUUGAGAUAAUUAUUUUAAAAUUAUGAGAGUCUUGUUCAAAAUAAUUUUUCCCCUCUUUUUCUCCACCCCCCCCCAAAAAAAAACAAAAGAAAAUAAAAAAGAUCAUCAUUGAGAAUAGAACUUUUAAUUUCAAAUUAUUCCCAUGGCAACUCCAAUCACAGUGUAGUGCUCUUUUUUUGCCUUCUGGUCGACUCUUUCACCAAUUCAAACUAUCCUUAAUUAUAAAUUCUAUCCUAUCGAAGCAAGACUUGUUAAAGUAUAACAGUGAAGAGCUUGAAAUUUCAUCCUCUCAACUCCAACUCCAUGGAGAGUAAAAAUAUGCCUAAGAUUUACAAAGAUUAUAGCACAAACGUGUACAUAAAAAAUACUAAUCAAUAAUUUUUAUGCAAGAGCAUAUGUAGGCUGCAAGGUUUAUAGGAGGUUUAAAGGCAAAAUCCCAAACCACAAGAAUUCUUUUUCUUUUUGUUUGCUUAAUUUACUUAUCUGUCCAUCAUUCUAAAUGACAGAGAAUUUGUUGCUCUCCUUGAAAAAUGAUUCUUCUUAAUCAAGUACGUACGUGGCUAUUAAAUAUAAUUGUAUUGGAGAUAACUAAUAAGUUUGCUUGAGCAAUCCAAAUGCAAAUUUCGGGUUCAAAAGGAUAAAAAUAACAAAAUAGAGCAAGAAAUUCAUUGAUCUUUACAAUAUCUUACUUAUAAAAUAUUGACAGUGACACGAUACUAUUCUAGAACAAGUAUGGAUGUUGCACACAUAGAUAUAUUGAGAGUAUGUUAUAUAUUCAAAUAAGUAGCCAUAAUUAUUUUGGAUGCAUCCCAUAAAGAAAUGGGAAUGAGGACACGAUGCACCCACUAUGAUUAAACCACCAUUGACAUUGUAAACUAUAAAGAGUUAACGAUGAGUUACCAUAUUUUGUCAAACACCAUUAAAAGCAUUUUUUUUUCUUAAGAUAAAUUUAAGAAUAGUUUAUUCAUAUAUAUGAGGGAACUAGUCCAUGUUUUUUAAGUUGUACAUUAAGUGUCUUGAAAAUAAGGCAAUUAAAGUGGGCACAUUGAUGCAUUGAUGGAUCGAUUACAACAAUUUUAGGAAAGAAAAAGCUAUGGAAUGCCAUUUGAAAGAAUGAAACGUUAGAGCUCGAUUUAAAAAAAAAAUAGAAAUGGCCAAAGCAAGAUAGAUGUAUCCCAUCACAAAUUAUUUUUGUGAGAUUCUUUUUAAGAAUAAUUAAGUAUAUAAUAUACAUGAUUAUCUUUAUCAACAACUUUCAAAUCUCAAUUCAGCUAUAUAGUUAUCUUAGCAAUUAGCAAAAUAUGUUAAUCUCUCUCUCUCACUCUCACACAUACAUAUACACACAGCUCCAUUGCAAGGGAGUGGCAGCCGUCCAAUUCAUUUAGAAUGUAUGCUACCAUCAGGCUACAAGCCAAUCAUGAUCCUUAUUUCCUAUCUAUACAUUGAUUUUUCUGCUUGCACAUAGAAAAAUAUUUUCCAUAUUGGCCCAUCUCUCCACCUCAUACGUUUCUUUGUAAAAAAAAUAGUAGAAAAGUCCACAUGAUAAUUUAAUUGCAAAAACACCACACUUAUUCUUCCAUUAUAAUGCAUAUAUCUUUGUUUAUUUAUUAUUUUUCUAUACUGAAGUUGCUCAAGUCUCCAACGAAAUUGCCUUUUCUGGGCGACCAAGGACGCUUGCCCCACCAACCGCCCAGUACGCGUCACUUACCGUCACCACUUGUUUAACCCAUCCUACGCCUUGCCGCCCACCACGUGGCCCGCAUCCCUCCACAAUAAUCCAAUUAACCUUCCAUAAGUAACAUCGCUAAACAACAUCUAAUUGUCACUAAUCCCUCCCAAAGUUGGAGAUAAUUAAUCCCCUACCGCUCCCACGUGCGAGCCAUGCCUGUCUGCCCCAAGGGGCAUUUCCGUCCACACGUUGUAUAAAUACGGCUCCUGACGCCCUCCCCCUUCCCCCACGACCCAUUCCACCAAGCUCUUCUUCUCUCCUCCUCUCUCGGUUUCCGGCCACCAGAGAGCUACCGCCGCCGCCGUCGCCGCCGCUGGGGAAUGGCUAAGGUCCACCCGAAUGCUGCCUCUCCUGCCCUCGAGCUCCCGAGGCCUGCCGUCUCUUGCAGAGGCGGCGCCGCGGGCCGGCAGGAGGCGGCGGUGCUGACGGUGUGGCGGAAGUCGCUGCUAUUCAACUGUAGUGGAUUUACUGUUUUUGAUGCCAAGGGAAGCUUGGUGUUCCGAGUCGAUAACUACGGGUCGGGGAGUAAGGGUGAGGUCCUGCUCAUGGAUGCCGCCGGGAAACCACUCCUCACCAUCCGGCGAAAGGUAUAAUUUUGAAACCCUUUAACAACUUUAAGAAUAAAUAUUAUAAGUUGAGAACUGAAACAAAGGAGACGAUUCUUAAUUUCAGGGUGUUUAAAUCGAAUUUGAUCUCUUCUAUAGAAUAAGGGAUUUAGUUUUGUCGGAUAUAAUAGAAUGAAGAUUUCCGUUUUGGCUUUUGGCGUGUCUUUUUUUAGUUUUGCAAUGCGCCUUGCACAAGAAAGUUCUUGGGUGAUACUUAUACUAAAUUAUUUAAGAAAUUUAUGUUUUAAAAUUAUUUUUGUAAUUGAUGUUUUUGUUGAUCAAGCUUCAAAGGUAAGCAUUUGAUCCAAAGGAGAAACAUGAUUAACCCAAAAGGAAAUAGAGAAACAUAUUUUUUAAAUUCUGUGUCAAAGUAAUUCGCUCUAAUUCUGAGAACAAUUUUUUUUUUUAAAGAAAGAAACCCUUUUCUGGGUUUGAAGGGGAUACAAUUAAAUUGUAUUCAGAUUGGUGAACUUUUCUGGGUUUCAAGGUGACGUUUCUGAGUCUUAACUCGCUGAGUUUCGUUAAUUGACACGCCAUGGUUAACUUGUGGCGCAGAAGCUGAGCCUAGGAGACCACUGGCUGAUCUAUAACGGCGAGGAGACCGUCAACCCCGGGUUCUCCGUCAAGCGGCACGUGAACUUCCUCCAGUCUAAGGCUUUGGCGCACGUGACACCGUGUGGAGCCGGUGCCGGCGGUGCCGGCCACGAGGUCCAGGGCUCGUACUCGCAGAGAAGCUGCGCGGUCUACGACGAGCGGCGGCGGCCGGUGGCCGAGGUCCGCCGGAAGGAGGCCGCCGCCGGAGGGGUGGCGUUCGGCGCCGACGUCUUCCGCCUCGUCGUGCAGCCGGAUCUCGACGUAUCGUUCGCCAUGGCCAUCGUCAUCGUCCUCGAUCAAAUGUUCGGAUCUCGAGGGUAUCGGAUCAAGGGCUAAGAUUGAGAGUGGGAGUUUAGAUUGGGUUGGCCAUUGGGAGGGUCAUGGGAAAGUUUUUCUUUUCUUUCUUUCCUUUCUUUUUUUUUUUCUUUUUUUUCCUUUUUUGCUUGUUCCUUUGGUGUUGGGAGGGCAGCAAGUAUGAUUAUGGGAGCCUUUUACUGUGUCACGGUUUGAUUUUUUAAUGAACCAUGUACCAAUAAAAGGCAAUUCUAUAUGAGUGUAAAUAUUUUUUUUUUCCCAAUGGAAAUAUUAGUAAGAGAAACUGUCCCUAUUUCUUACUCUUAGCCCCAAAAAAAUGUUUUUUUCUUAAAAAGAUGAUAACCCAGGUCAUAAAAAAAAUAAUUUCGUUCUUAGGAUUAACUUAGAUGGAAAAUUUCUUGGUGUUGAGUAGAAUUUAAUUUGUUGAGGUGUUUGAGGUAUGAACAACCUGAGGCAUACAAUAAUCCAGCUACUUUGUAAGAAGUAUGUAAGAAACAUUUGCAUAAAUUAAUUUGAAGUAUGAUUUAAUAUUUUAGGAAGGGCUAACUUGAUUUAGAUUGGAUUCUAAUAUAAGCUUUUAGGUUUAACUAUAUUAAUGUUGCUUUCAUGAUGCAUCAACUUAAUUGUUGCCCUGCUGUUUAACCAUUGUUCCUGGAGGUCCACAUAAACAUUCCCAGAUUAUUACCUUGUUGGUUCAACAAUUAAUUGUUCCAAACCUCCCUUCGAAAAAAAAUACAAUUGUUCCAAACCGUCCGAAUCAUAUCAGCUUAAAAGAGUCAUGCAAACAAACAUAUCUGGAGUAAUAAAAUGUACAUCAUUGAUAUAAUUGACCAUGUCCCUCAGAUUCUCUUUGAAGGAAGGGUCUCGUCAGCAUUCCACAAAGCCAAAAUAUCUGUGAGCUUCUUUGAGAAUAUCAGACAAGCUUCGCUCGUCAUUUAUUUUAAAUAAAUAAAGCAAGAGUCAUCAAUUCAGCAUAUUCAAAAAGCACCACAAAUCAAUAAUUUCAUAGAAAUUAUGUAGAAAUUUUCCAUUCAAAUAUAUACUAAAGCACCGCCUUCUAUGCUUUCGAGGGCGAAUCCUCCUCUAGGUGAAAUUUAAUUGUUUGUUGCUGGAUACUUCUCAAAAAAAUUGUCGCCUUAGACAAGCAAACAAUUUAACUUCAUUCUUAUGCAUUUGGGACAUGGGGUGAUGGCUGAAUAAUAUUUUGUUAAUUUUAUAAAGUAAAAUAGGAUUAUACUUCGUUCAAUUUAUGCCGUUUCUCUUGCAAACUUUUGCGUAGAUUAAAUAUCUUUUAAUUGCAUGUUUAAAAUAUUCUUUCAUUAUGUCUGAGCCCUUCACCUCCUUUCUCUGUUUUUCAACCUCCAAUCACUUUAGUGACAAGCAAUUGGGAGCCAUAAGAAGGUUUUAGGGUAAUUAGCCUUCUUGGUUUUCUUUUCUUAGUUGGUCAGAAGACUACCUUCUCAUUGUCAAGGGCAAAAACAUAUCAAAGUCGCAAGUCACCGCAAUAAGCGGCUCAAAUUAUGAAAUAAUAGUUAGACGCAGUCAAUUUUAGAAUGCUGUUUUAUGUGGUGGAUGGUCCAAGAGCCCGGUCACCUUCCAAGCUAGACAUGGUCCAAGUGCAUCUCUUACCGAUGGAUAUGUGGCUCAAAUCCUUGUACCACUCGUAUGUGGCCCUCCACUAUAAUUGGAAGCAACUACAUUAACUGGUUUCCAUGGUAAUCACAGAAGACGAUAUCAAUUAGCAUUCUACAACUUGAAAAUAACUCUCAUCCAUGAAAGGGGGGGUUUCUGAAACAAAAUCAAAUUUCCAAGUGCCAUUAUCAACCCAAAACAAUGUCAAUAUUUCUUGCUUUGUAUCAUAUGCUAGGGUUCUGAGGAUCACAACCUCAAUCACUUGUUAUUUUGAUUAGGAAUUCGAGAAUGUUCUACCUAUAGGAAAAAUCAUACAUUUAGAUUUAUCUUGGAACAUGACCUCUUCUGCUCAAGUGACUCUUUCAAGAAAUCUGCUCGUUUUGGUCAAAUUUCCCAUUGAUUUCGAGCCGAGGGGUCGCUUUCAUGCAUUGCUUGCGAGACUCGGAAAAAGGGACAGGAAGAUGUUGGAAAGUUGAACAACAAGGAACCUUGUUGCUGUGCCAACUUCAAGUCAACAUUGUAGAAAAGUGGUGCACCCUCAAAUUCAAUGACACGACCCUUGAUAAGAACCUCACAUGUGGGAGAGCCAUUUCAUAGAAAAGGCCUGGCUUAACCUCCUGGGCUAAGACUUUUACGGAUCUUUGUGUGCAGUCCAGCAAGGUUGGGCUGGAUUUCUUGAGGGGAGAAGAGAAAUGACCUCACGACUCAUGGGUCUUUCCUUCUUUUUUUUUCCCCUCUUGAGAAAGACUUUACGCACUGCAUGCAGAGAAAUGACCUCACGACUCAUGGUUUUUUUUUUUGCCUCUUGAGAAAGACUUUAUGCACUGCAUGCAGUAUAAUAAAACUGACAUGGAGCAUACCACCUAAUCAUAUUAAAGUAUAUAGUCAUUACUUUCCAAUGCGCAUUUAGUGCAUAUAAUUCUACUUUUUCGUUUGAAAUUUUGAAUGACGAAAAUGCUUCCCUUCUUUUGAAAAAAUUAUGAUAUCCUACGAUCAUAUUAUGAUAUCCUGUGAUCAAAUUAUCACUUCCUGCACACAGGAUGUUAUAAUUUUUUUUCAAAAAUUAUAAAGAAAAAAGUGUAUUUUCGUCAUUAAAUUUAUAAAAUUUUUAAAUGAUAAAAAUAUUUUUUUUGUCCUUAUGGCAUCCUAUAUGCAAGAAAUCAUAAUUUGACUGUAUGAUGUCAUAAUAUAACCACAAGAUGCCAUAAUUUUUUAAGAAGAAAAGGGAUAUUUUCGUUAUUCAAAAUUUUAAAUAAAAAAGUAGAUCUAUAGACAUUAAAUGUGCGUUGGAAAGUGAUGGUUACAUGACCUAAUCAAAUGGAAUGGUAUAUUUUUCUACAACGGAUGCGGUGUACAUAUAAUUACUUUUUUUUUCCUUAUAGACUAAGAGGCCCAUAAAUUGGAUUUAAGCUAGGAUGAGACAUUCUUUGCGCACCGCGGACGGUGCAGGACCGCGUACUCCGCCCGUGGUGAUUGGCUCAUGCACGGAGCUGAAAGAAAAAAAAAAAUUUUUUGCAUGCUGUGCUUUGGCUCCAUGUGUGAGCCAAUGACCGCAAGCAGUACGCGUAUUCUGCACCGCUUGCAGUGCAUAAAAAAUUUCUUAAGCUAGGAUUAGGAUGGACUUUUAGAAGAAUAUAGGCCGAACAAUUCAAUAAACUUGAUUUCUGCCCAACACUACUAGGUUUCCAAAAUAGGCCCUUAAAGUUGCAAGUCACCGGCCUAUUAGAUUACCCUUUUUUCAAUUACGCACGUUGUGGAAGUCAAAAUUUGAAACAGUUCGAUUAUCAAGAUUUAAGCCCCAUUUCUUUUCAAUUAGGUAAAGCAGUACUUUGUUACAUUUUAGUUCAUAUCCUUACCCUCUUUUGGAACUUAAGUUAAUUUUUGGUUCCAAGUAGGGGUGCCAAUUGAGCAGGUCGAGUCAAAUACGAUUAGGUUAGAUAUAGGUCAGCUCAAAAAACUUUUCUAUCCAAAUUCGAUCUAUUUAUUAAACAAGUUAAAAACUUAAACCUAAAUCAGACAUAUUUAUUAAACAAACAAUCCGACUCAACCCACAUAAUUUAUUUAUUAAAUAGAUCAAAUUAAAUUAAAUAGGUUAAACAAUUUAAAUGGUUAAAUGGAUCAGAUUAAAUAGGUUAGAAACAAAUUAAACAAGUUUUAUAUUUGUUAAAUAGAUUAAACGGGUCAGAUUAUAAUCUAACCUAAUUGUAAUUAGACCCAAUUAUUAAGCAGAUUAAAUAGAUCAAAGAUCCAAGUAUGAAACCAACUUAUUUAAUAAACAGGUCGGAUGGGUUGACACUAUGAUCCAAAAUCAUUUAUAUUAAACCCAAACUUUCUUAAAACGAGUUGAGAAUUGGGUUGAUGGGCUAGAUCAUAAUUACCACCCUUUGUUCUAAGCCCUACCUUUAUAAGCAAUCACCAAGGAUCGAUUAGAUUUGCUGGUAGAUUCGAUGUCAUGGGAUAUGUUCUUUUUCCUGUUUUUUCUCCUCCUUUUCUUAAUUUUCACUGGUGUCGGUAUGAGGGAUGGCGCCCAGUUGAGUCCCAGACAAUUUGUUCUGCGCAAUGGGAAGAUCCUGGACUGACAUAUUUUCACCUCAUUUUUGUUCUUAUUUUCUCCAGUCAUCGUAAUCCAAUUACCACUAUCCUAACAAUUUUUGUUCUUUUUUUCACCUUAUUUUUGUUCUUAUUUCAAGACAAUGUCCAUUGCCUGCCUGCCUACGUGGUGCAAGCUCAAAAACAUUCUCUGGAUGCAUUUGGAUCCUCGAAUCAUGAGUUAAAUGGAUCAAAGGCCAUUCUGAACCGCUGCAUACAUGCAUGCAUGCAUCUCACGUCCAUCACUACAGCAUCCCUGAACCUCACCAAAUUGGAGCGCCGCUUGACGGUCCGUCAAAAGCUUUCGAGUUUGUUGGCACUUGAUGCUUUGUGAAGCAAGUGUGCACCAAGAGCAAUCCGACUUCAGAGGUUAUAACGUUUUCCACGCAAGUGAAUCCCGUAUAACUUUUAUUUCAUUUAAAGCCUCUAAAAUGCGAAGCUUCUCGAUUGUAUCUCUAAAAAUUAUCGGAACUGCUGCCUUCUUGUGAAACUUAUUGUGAUGAUGACCUUAACUCCCAUUGUAAUAUUGCCUUUGCCAGUUUGCCCACAUUUGGAUUCGUAUGACACCAUUAUUCACCCCUUUGUAAUAGGCGACUAAUAUGUACUACAGUUUGCUUAAGCUGGAUCCAAUCUAAAGCGAGCUCUAUGAUGUAAACUAAAAAAGAUGGUAUUUUUGAGGACGAGAGUCUAGACCUUUCUUAUAACCAAAACAGUUUAGUGGAUUGCAGCAGUUUAUAAGGUUUGACAAGAGUAAUUCUUCACGUCUGAGGCACAAAAUCUCCACAAAUAUCAAAGUGGUAUCCAGGUUCCCUCUGGAUUUUCUAAACCAAAGGCCCAAAAGCCGCUGGUAUAUUGCUCCAUGGCCCAAGGAACGGCUAUCGUCUCAAUGAUUGGAUCACACGUGCAACGGAACAGAUGGGGCCCAAAAAAAAAAACCAAAGGACCCUAAAAAGCCGNNNNNNNNNNNNNNNNNNNNGGGUCCCAAAAAAAAAAACCAAAGGCCCAAAAGCCGCUGGUAUAUUGCUCCAUGGCCCAAGGAACGGCUAUCGUCUCAAUGAUUGGAUCACAAGUGCAACGGAACACGUGGGGCCCAAAAAAAAAAAGCAAAAAUACUAGUGGAGAUGCGGGGUAUCGAUCCCCGUACCUCUCGCAUGCUAAGCGGGCGCUCUACCAUCUGAGCUACAUCCCCAGACGAGAGUGGGUUUUUUAUUUUCGUAACUUGUCUUAUUCUUCUGUUUCUUGGCGCUCCUUCCUAUUUCGCCAAUGAGGCCCACCUCGCCUGCAAACCUGCGUCGGCGUCGAUUUCCAGGUGCCUUCCCGUGUGCCCUGGCCUUGGUUUUGGACGGAGCCCUCCUGUGGGUUCGACCAUCCCAAUGUGGUAACACCCUGAGAGCUUGUGGCACAUUCUCCGAUUCCACUUUCCACCAUUCCGUGUGCUCCUGUUGGUUUUUUUUAACUUAUUAAAGUUGCCGUUGGUUGCAACCUCAGACGGGGAACAGCCUUCCGGUGGGCUUGACCAGCUCGAGAUUCUAAGAUGGCCAAAGUCAUCCCAGGUCCAUAUGUAGGUUGGCAUGGAAUGAGGGGUUUUGCUGGCAAUUGCUCUCGUUUCAUGGUAUUCAAUUUCCAAUGUGUCAACAUUGGCAACCUGAUCCCUUGCUCGCUACAUGCUAUGCAACAUAAUUAAAUGUUGCUUGUGAGUUUGGAGUGCACAAAUUGCCAUGAAACAUAAACGGCUUUUUGUUAUAAAUCCUUUGACAGACUUCACUGCCUGCCACCGUCGCAAUGCAUUCGUGAUCCAGCAAAGUCCUGAGAAUUAACUGGAACAUGUAAAUUUUAGUGAAUAUUAGUAGUUUCUUGAUUGGGAACAUGUAUAAGUAAUGUCCAUGCAAAAGACUAAACAUGCAAGGGCCGUCCAACAGUAUAGUUUGCCGGAUUCAACUGUCGGGCUUCAUUAAGGUUGUUCUUUCUCCUCUUAUCUAUUUAUUUUGUGUACUAAUGCUUUAUCUCGAAUAUUAAAAAUGGUAGUUCAGAGAUCGAUAUUGGAGCCCUACUGGCCCGAUCCUAAAGGUGCAACUGCUCUUGCACCUUCUCUUUGCAAAUGUCUCCUCACAGGACGGGCUUCGGUAUGAAACGUAAGGUAUUUUGCUCUCAUUAUCGAGGUUUACUGUCAGAUGUCAAACCAACCUAUGAACUUGCAAGAGUUUGCGGUCAUCUUCAACUCCAAGAUAAAAAUCCAUAUGAAGUAGGCGAUUCGGAAGCGAUUGGGGAUCUCGAAAUUGACCAAGACCUUGACCUAUCUGGAUUUUUCUAUCACCGAUAGGCAUCUCUGGAGGGUCGACUGCAGACCUUUGGAGUAGCGGGUUGAGAAUAGACUCGAGGGUUGGUAAGCCAACACCCUCUCAAUGAUCGGCAGAACAACUCUUGUGAGAUCAGUGCUCAGUUCUAUCCUGAUGUACCUCUCUUGGCUAACACGAUCGUCUCGAGUUUCUGUCCAGAGGAUUGAAGCAGUGGCUUCAGAAUUUCCUGUGGGGCUCAGGGGAUAACAACGUGGGAUCCACCUACUAUCCUGGAAGGUGGUUUGCCAGCCUGUGAGAGAUGGUGGUUUGGAGAUUCAAUCUCUGUUAGUCAAAGGGGAGGCUAUGAUUGCUAGACAUGCUAUCAGAUUCCUUAUCUAGUCAGACUAUUUCUAGAGCAGGAUGAUGAGGGUUCAAUAAGGCAUGGAGCCAGGAGUCCCAGAUCGAGGCCCUCCGUGGUUGCUUUUUCUUCUAGAAGGAGAUUUGUGCUUGCGGGCUUGCUAUUUUGGCUCAAGUCAGAUGGCUAAUUAGGGAUAGGAUUACGGUGAUUGUGAGCCAGGAUGCUUGGAUCUCCGAUCUUUCUUUAUUCCUAUGGCAGACCUACAUUAGCAGUGAGGUAGAUAAUCAUCUGCAUCUCUGCGACCUACUCAAUGCCGAUGGUAGGGGCUGGAGAGUGCAGGAGAUCAUCAAAUUAUUUGGCGGUCCACUUGCUGAUCGGAUCCUCACCACUCUUAUUUUGAUUCACCAUAGCCAUGAUUUUUGAGGAUGCAGGAUCAUCUUGUUGCCCUAGGGUUCCCUUGAGGGACCUAUCUAAGAUGUGCAAAUUAGCAAUGGUUAGGAGGAUCGAGGCUGCUUAAAUUUAGAGAGUAUCUACCCUCCCAGAGUAAGACUCUUUCUUUAGAAGCUUGUAUGGGACCAACUUUCAAUGCACAUGCUUUUCAGAGAUAGAGGUAUGAAGUUGCUAGUUUCAUGAGGUAUGAAGUUGCCAGUUUCAUGUCUGAUCUGCAGACUGGAGGAUGAAUCGACAGAGCACACCAUUCUGCGCUGUCCGAAGGCCAGACUGAUUUGAAGGAAAGCAGGCGACUAGUCUUGGGAGACGACUGAGGUCAUUGGCUGGUGUCUUUCUUAAGUGCUAUCCAUCAGAGCAUAGCUGAUAGGAUGACAUCCACUUGAGAGGAUAGGAUGGUUUACAUUGUCUACUAGAUUUGGCUCUCUAGAAAUAGCCUGAUCUUCGAGGGCGAGAUGAUUCCUGCACACCAGAUAUUAGAGAGAACGAUCUGCUUGAAUAUGAAGUACAGUCAUUUCGAUGCUGCUAGCCCUUUUCUUGAUGCCCCCAUUCACUAAGACUUCCUUGCUGCUCCUGCGGCGAUCCGGAGGAUCAUUUUUAUUUUGUGGGAUCCCUUUCCUUUGGGAUUUGCCAAUGUGAACUUUGAUGGCAGUGUUAGAGAUGGGAGGGGUGGUGUGGGAUUUAUCAUUUGGAGCCUAGAUGCCAGGCUGCUAGUGGCUGGAGGCUUCUAUCUUUUUGAGCCUUCAGUUUCGGAAACUGAGCUUCAUGCCGCCUGGACGGAUAUUUUCUUUAUCAGAUAGAAGUUGCGGACAGAGAGGAUUUCAUUGAGGAUGACUCUACUAUCGUUAUUGGAUAGAUUCAUGAUGGUAGUAGGUAGCUAAAAGGUCAUCCACUCCUCUGACAUAUGGAUUGCUUUUCGUCUUCUAGUUACAGUGGUGGUGCGAUAUUUCUAUCGAAAGGUGAAUAGUACAGCAGAUUGAAUCACAUCUUUUGUUGCAGAGCACUUUGGAGACUAAACUUAGCGAUCGGCCCCAUAAAAAUUUUUAUUUUCUAACUUUCUAAGAUGCUCUCACAUUAGAGUGGCAUGACCAUCCCCAUGUAUCCAAAAGAAAAAAAGUUUGCCGAUCUAUAUUUGAUACGAGUUGAGGUGAUACUGAGUCCGGAUUCUCUGUUGUGCACCGUACGGUGCAGUGCACAGCACAUCAUUCAUCGCACGAUGGACAGCCACGCGUGGAUACGCGUUUGUUGUGCACGGCCGCCCAUCGCAUGAUAGACGGUGCGUGCUGUGUACCGUAUCGUGUGGUGCACAGCAGACAAUCCGUACUGAGGUGAUAUUUUUCUGUUCUUAAAGCAUAUUGAUUUAUUUUUAUUCAAACAACUUUUAUGGGUAAGUAUUUUUUUUUCUUUUUAAACCAACGAUUAAAUUGAGACAUUCGAGCGACCAAAUCACGUUAGACACUGAGUUACUUUAAAUGAAAUUAAUAUCAAGCGCAAAAAUAUCAGUGUAGCCUGUUGUGGGCCUUGUGGCACAGUAUACUUCGACCACUGCGUCUUUAGUCUCACAAAUUUCGGCAGUACCAUCGCCACAAGCUUUGCUCUCAGUGGAUUUGGUUGUUACGGAGAGCCAAGCGGCUCAUCCGGCGGACCGUUCCUCACCCUCGCGCUCGCAUGCCACCUGACAAGAGGCCGGGUAGUUGAUCGUAAAAUGUACUCAUAGAAUUUAUCUGCGACCUUUCGAUCCGCCGUCCGCCAUGACCAUCUAAAUCCAACUUCUCCGUUUAUACAUAAUAAUAGCACCUUUGGACGGGUGAGAUAUUUUCAUUCGACGAAAAUAACGGCAGAUCAUUCAUCUCUGUAGAAAAGUUAUGCACGCGUCCGGACGAUAGCAUUUUUCGAGCACAAGAAUAAAACAAGAGGGGGAAUCCGUCCAACGCCACCUAGCAUUCCUCGCAGUUGCCAUGUUCCGAUGGCACAUUUUAACAGGGCAGAUCCAGUAACACAUUACCCAAAAAUAAAUAAGCAAUAAAUUCAACAAUAAAAAUGAACGGAUGUGAUUGCAUUGGAACAAGUUAACCUAAAACCACUGAGCUGGGACACUAAACAAAGCAUUAAAAAUUUCAUAGUCUAUAUCUCAUUUUAUGGUGUCUGGGUAUGAUUUUUUUUUUUUUAAUACAAACGAACGUUCACACCAAUCUAACACGAAAAUAGUUUGAAAGAUCAAAAUAUAUAAAAUUUCAUAAAAUCUACAAGCAAUUUUUAUUCUAUCUUCAAUUUUAAUCAUCAAAGUAUUCCGCAACAAAUGACGCUAUGCAAUCUGCUGCAGUAUUAGCCUUCCUAUAAAUAUAUCGCAUUCUGAUAGUAGUCGUUUGAUGAAGGAAGGUCUAAAUAUUUUAGAUCAGCGAAUAAAUUUUGAGAUGUUUUGCACCUUCUUGAAUCUAAAUAAUGAUGAUAGCAGAAUUAUCCUCAAAAUAAUUUUUUUUUAUGUGAAACUGUUAUAUGAUAAAGAUGAUAUCUAUCCAGACAGUAUGAAACUCUACAUCUAAAAUAAAAAAUAGAUAGAAAUCUUGGAUCACCAAAAGUCUAACAUAUAGACCGUGAAAGAUGAAAUCCAUAUCAUUUUUUUUUAUUUCAGAUACUAUCAUCAAAAUUCAUCUUGCCAAACGUAAAAGAUGGGGCUCCUUGAGAGAUGGGGUAAGAGGCUUUUAAUCUCACCAUCAAAUAGCGUCAGAUGGUUGGAUACCUGAAAAAAACGGAACGAAUUUCAGAUAUUGUCUCACUCGUCUUUUUUUCCAGGCAUACACUGAGAUGCGCCGAGUUACCGGGCUUUUCUGUGAACCGCGGACGGCAAACCGGUCGUGGCCUGUAGCACCGCGGACCCGGUUCCGGCCCAGUCCGGGUGCAUUGCAUCAGUAUGGUGCGCGUAUUACCGAAAUGGAUCGGAGUGUAUCAUCGCAAACUAUGGGUGGCAAUAGCGCGCGUGGUUUAGGACUUCGCCGCACUGCUUCGACAGUCUCCAAAGAAAUAAUUUUUUUUCACGUUAAAUACAUCGAAGGCUCUGUCGGAGAUCCCCUCAUUUCGAUCUACCCUGUUCUCGUUAACAUCUGAUAGAUACUCUUCGAGAAGUCUAGCAAGGUAUCCAUCGAUUUCAUCCUUUUUCUAUAUGUUCUUGUUGCUUUUGUUUUCCUAUCGAAGAUCGUGUUUUGGGCUAUUGAUUUUGCGGUUAUCGACUGGUUUACCUUAUUAUCUGCUUUAGAUCUAAUCCAUUAGCCUAGUUUUCGUGCGGAGUUUCGAUUCGAUCUCUUUGUAUCAAAUUUUGGAGUAGAUCGUGUUUUCCUGUUAUUUGGAUUUCAGAUUUUUUUUCCUUAUUUUUAUGUAUUUUGGAAGUAUUUGGAGAGAUGGGGAGCUCUGAGUUUUCGUGGAAAUUGGCGGAUCACCCGAAGCUUCCAAAGAGGAAGACGGUGGCUGUUGUAGUUUUGGAUGGAUGGGGCGAAGCCAAUCCCGAUAAGUACAACUGCAUUCACGUCGCCCAGACUCCUACCAUGGAUUCACUCAAGCAGGUAUAAGUAUUGGAUUUUUUUUUUUAAAAAUUGUCUGUGUUUAUGGGUUCAAUUGGUAGAGAUCGGUGCCUUUUUAUGGCCUCGCCAAAUGUAUUUGUGGGGAUCUUAGUCCUGUUGGUUUGCAUUAAUUUAGUUAUAGUUUCCUGUUAAAUCUUCGUAACUGGAGAAUAAUAGAAUAUCUGCAAAGUUAUAAUGGUACUUUCAUAUUCAUAAAGCGUCCAUCUUUUUAUUUCAUAUUUAAUAUUAUAUGAAUAUCAUAUGAUGAAUGUAUCAUGUGCCAUGUAAAUAUUCAAUGAAUCAUUUACUGAAUCCUAUUUUACUAUGUAUAGGAUUGUUAUAUGACGGAACUUAUCAAAUUCCAUUGCUUUUCAUUUUCAAUAUAGCGAACCCCACAAGAAUAAAUAUUUUCUCAUGGCAUCACAAUGUGGUUCAUGUAUUAUAGGGUCUUGAUUCUUAACAGACUGGCUUGGAGCAAGAUUUACGUGACAUGCUGAAAUCCCCUACUACAACCUCUGAAACCAUAAUGGUUGUUAUAUUCCCAAUGAAGCUUUUGGAUGCUUUUUUCCUUUUUGAAAAUAGUUUAGUAGCUGUUGUAAAUGGACAGUAAAGGUAAGAUUUUGGCUUUUAAACCAGCAUGGAGAUUUGAUCUUUUUUUAAUAUAUUAACCACAUGGACAUGGAAAAUGUUAACUACAUUGGUUGUUAGAUAAAAUCCAUUGUAACAGUUUACUCGUAAACAUCACCAUUAUUCAGAUAGCCAUUUUUUUUUCUUUUUUCUAAUAAAUAAUCAUUAUGUGUCGCCCAUUCUGUGUGCAUGUUUGUUGCAAAUGGUCCUCAAAAACCAGUAUAAUAUCAGUCAUUACAUUGUGGUAGCAAAUAUAUUGAACAAUGCCUUGCAAUGAUCCUUAACACCAGUUUGAAACAAUAAAUGCUAUAUGCAAUCAAGUCUUCUUUAUGGCUCCUUUCAUCUCAGGAUUGCUACUUGGUAAUCUAGCAGUGGCAUAUACUUUAUACGCUCCACCUGACAUUCUGUAGCAGCAUACUGACAAAUAAGAGUAGAAAACAUGAAUUCUCCACUAUGUUCUUCUGUAUGUUGGAUUGUGGCAUGAACUGAUGCUUAAAUAAUAUCCCAUUAAUGACUUGGUACCUGAAUCUUGUUUUCUAUGCACAUAGAAUAUUUACUUAAGCAAUUAAACCCUGCAUGUACUCAUGUAUGUCAUAUCAUGGUCUGAGUAACAAAUGUUAUGGCCUUUUAAAACCUUUUAGAACCAUAAUUUUACUGCUAUGACAAAAAAAGAGGCCAUUGAUCUUCAUUAUAGUUUAAGAAUGAAGGACAACAAGGGAUAAUAAUUUACAGAAUAUAUACUAUUUAUGAAAUGAUAUGGAGAUUGAACUUUAAAAAAUUGUUAUGUUAAUUAGAUAUAUGAUGAAAAGAACAAAUAACUAUUGUUGUAAGUUAUAUGAGCCAUUAUAGUAGAAUAACAACUACAUAUGGAUUUUGCUGAAACACACUUGUGUUAUUCUACUAUUGAUUUUACUGAAACACACUUAUAUAUGUAUAAUGUGAUGUAGGGGCUCUGUGGCCAUUAUAACAUUCAGUAUCUUGCCGUAACAGCUGCUAUUAUAGAUUAUACAUUAUGUUUCCUAUAUGUUUUCUGAUUUGUCACCUCAAAGUUUAUAAGUUGGAAAUAUCUGCUGAUUCUUGGACUUUGCGGAAAUUGAACUGAAUAAUAUCAUUAAUCACUUCAUCUUAAACAUAAGUUAUUAACACUCAUCAUGUUCUUGCAAAAGGGUGCUCCAGAAAGAUGGAGGCUGGUACGGGCUCAUGGCACAGCGGUGGGACUUCCUACUGAGGAUGACAUGGGUAACAGUGAAGUAGGUCACAAUGCCCUAGGUGCAGGACGCAUUUAUGCUCAAGGGUACAAUAUUCACCGAAACAGCUUUUAUCUUUAUAUGGGCAAUCAUCUGCUAGUUAUUCUAUCUUUUAGCAUUGUGUUCUAGUUAUGCUCGCUUUUGAAUCUUAUAUCUUCACAUAAAAGUGUUUUCCUUAUUAAUAUGAUCAUGCUUAAUUACAAAAAAAACCCAUCAUGUAAGUUAUUUAAAAAAAGGUUUCUGAAAACAUCUUUAAUUUUUUUCUUUUCAGAUGAAAAUAUUCUUCUCUAUAAUUGAUUUCUUCUAUAUAAUACUAAUUGAUAGGGCUUCAUCGAUAAGUAUUACGAGAUCUCGUGCAUUGGAACCCAUGGUUAUGAACCCGAAUAAGUUAGUAUGGAACAUUUUCUUUUCCAAGUGAAAUCCCCUAGUAUAUGAAAGAAUGGGAAAUCUUUAACAUGAUUUAGUUUUAUUAUGUAAGUUGGUCCUAUGUCUGUUUCUGUAUGGACUUCUGGCAAUCUAUAUAUUAUUUCAAUGCGGCUCCUAAUAUUUGUCAAGUCUUCUUGCACCCAUUAUCCUGAAUCAUUAGCUGAACAUGCAUUCAAAUAAAUUAAGAUAAGUAAAUCAUGUUUCUAACUUAAUCUGUAUUUUCACUCUCUAAUUGGACUUUUUCCGUAGUGAUACUGAAACUUCUUGAAGUAAACCUAAUCAACCCCCGUGCAGAGACUUCUAGUAGAAUGACAUUAAGUUAAUGAAAAAAUCAAAUAGAACCAAGAGCUGUGUUGUAUGAUCACCUGUUAUUUUAUAAUUAUUUUUCCUCAGUUUCAUGCUGUUACAUUACCUUUCCCGGAUUACAGUGCUAAGCUGGUGGAUCUUGCACUUGCCUCUGGAAAGAUAUAUGAAGGAGAAGGUUUUAAGUACAUCAAAGAAUGUUUUGAUCAGGGCACUUUGCAUCUCAUCGGGUUAUUGAGUGAUGGAGGUGUCCACUCUCGGCUUGAUCAGUUACAGGUACAGACGAGGGACUCAGUUCUUAUUUAAUUGAUGUUCUAUGUAUGCAUCCAUGAUUACCUUACUUAACGGGUCAUUUUCUUUGCAGUUGCUACUGAAAGGUGCUAGCGAGAAUGGUGCAAAAAGAAUCCGUGUGCAUUUUCUUACUGAUGGCCGUGAUGUUUUGGAUGGGUCAAGUAUUGGUUUUGUAGAAACACUUGAGAAUGAUCUUUUGAAGCUACGAGAAAAAGGUGUUGAUGCACAGAUUGCAUCUGGUGGGGGUCGGAUGUAUGUUACCAUGGAUCGCUACGAGGUAUCUGUUAAGAUAUCUGAAUCUAUUAUAUCCCCCUAUAAGCUGUAUAUCAGAUAGUGAUUCAUCUUAUAAAAGGGAUUUGAAUUCAUGCUUCUUAUUUUGCUCUCAAAGGCUCGUGCUUCUUAUAUUUUACACUCUAGGACACACCUAUGGACUUUCUUAGGGUGAGAGUCUUGAGACCCACCAAAUGUUUUCCAAAGAAAUAUGAUGACUAUAUUGUCUCUUUCUGUUCACUUUUAUGAAUAUAUCUUCCAAUCUUUUUGUUAAAAUUUGACGCUUUCGAGGUGGAGCUCCUCAUUUAUGUAUUUUCCAGAACUAUUUGCUCUAGUUUACAUCAAAGUUCCACACUAUAGACGAGCAUUUCUUCAGGAACAUUCCUAUUUUAUUUUUUUUAGCAUUUUUUGUUCUAGCUAGACACUGCAGUUUGGUGUGCUAUUUGUACAGUGGAUUCAAAUUUUGCAUUUCGUUUGGCAUUUUGCUCUUAUUAACAUUGUUGAGUUGGUAGUUCACAUAGUUGGUUUUGAUGAAUUCUCAGAGUUCUUGAAUAGCUACCAAAUAAAUUGGGCUGCUGAUUAAAAGGUCAUUUUAUUCAUUUUGCAGAAUGAUUGGGGCGUUGUUAAACGUGGCUGGGAUGCUCAGGUCCUUGGUGAAGCACCACACAAGUUUCGAAGUGCCGUUGAAGCUGUGAAGAAGCUCAGGGAAGAUCCCAAAGCCAAUGACCAGUACCUGCCCCCUUUUGUUAUAGUUGAUGAGAGUGGCAAGGCAGUUGGGCCAAUAGUGGAUGGUGAUGCAGUUGUAACAUUCAACUUCCGAGCAGAUCGUAUGGUUAUGCUUGCUAAAGCACUAGAAUAUGAAGAUUUUGACAAAUUUGACCGUGUUCGCUUUCCAAAGAUUCGAUAUGCUGGAAUGCUUCAAUAUGAUGGUGAAUUGAAGCUUCCAAGCCAUUAUCUUGUUUCUCCUCCAGAGAUAGAGAGGACAUCAGGAGAGUACUUAGUGCACAAUGGUAUUCGUACUUUUGCUUGCAGGUAUUAUACUGUGCGCCACAAAAUUUUAGGUUGCUUGGAAUUGUCAUUACAAAUGGCGUGUGUUUUUCGGGGAUCAACUAGAUUAGGAAUGAAAAGGGUGGGGUUCCUGUUUUUCACAUAACCAUUUCAAAGUAAAUGAACAAUUACGCUUUCUAAAAGGUUCAAAAAAGCAUGGAGACAAUGUUUUCAUGAAGAUUAUAUCUGGUUUCUGUUCUUUAAUUUUUCAUAAAACCAGAGAACCAACAAAUCUGAUAAACUUCAGUUAUUCUUUUUUUUUUGAAUUAACAAGUGCUUAAUUUUAACGAAUGCAUGCAUGCUCAUUUUGUCCUCAGAUUGGUGACCCACAAACUUAUACAGGAACAAUAUUUGGAGAAUACAGACUUUUAAAUUGUCUUUCUCUCAAUCUACUGGCGACAUUUUUGGAGCUCUAACAAAGCAUGAUGCAAUUACUAUUUCUACUAUGUUUAGUUUUAACUUUUAUACGAGAACCAAUAAUUUAUGUCUACUUUGUAAUUUUGAGUUUUAUGAUGCCAUUCUAUAACUGGUUAUUUGUUACUUCUAGUGGUCCUUAUUUUUAUAUCACCCAGAAAGAUUAUUAUAAUUGAUAUAAUACCUGUUCUUUAAAGAUGAGGUAUUAGUGCCAUUAUUGCUUUCAUAUCUAGGGCGAUUAAUUUAUGUCUACUUUGUAAUUUUGAGUUUUAUGAUGCCAUUCUAUAACUGGUUAUUUGUUACUUCCAGUGGUCCUUAUUUUUAUAUCACCCAGAAAGAUUAUUAUAAUUGAUAUAAUACCUGUUCUUUAAAGAUGAGGUAUUAGUGCCAUUAUUGCUUUCAUAUCUAGGGCGAUUACACUCACGUGUGAAACCUCUUUACAUUUGGUCAACAGUGAGACAGUCAAGUUUGGUCAUGUCACCUUUUUCUGGAAUGGCAAUCGAUCUGGAUAUUUUGACUCGUCAAUGGAAGAAUAUGUUGAAAUUCCAAGUGAUGCAGGAAUUACAUUUAAUGUCCAACCAAAGAUGAAGGCCUUGGAAAUUGCUGAAAAGGCAAGGGAUGCUAUCCUCAGUGGCAAGUUUGACCAGGUAGAGAAAUAUAUGAACUAUAAGAUGGAAUAGUUGGUUUUCAGUUUUAUGGCUUGUGUCAUUCACUAUUCUGUGGCUGUAGGUUCGUGUCAACCUUCCUAAUGGAGAUAUGGUGGGACAUACUGGUGAUAUAGAGGCCACUAUUGUGGCAUGCAAGGCUGCUGAUGAUGCUGUCAAGGUAGCAUGUUGGAUAUGUUUUUACUUUCUUUCCAUUCAACAUGCCUAGAAUUUAGGAAUUUUUUAGGUUAUCAGUAAUUUUGUUUACUUAAAUACUUGUAUGUGGUACCUUUCCAACUCUUAGAUUGGGUAACUAAAAACCUAUGAAAAGAUACACAAUCCAUAUACUGAGUUAAUUUGGGCCUGAAUUUUUAUUUCUUGGGUGAUUUCUUUUCAGAUUUCAUACAUAUUUAAGCAUUUUAAAAGUUCAAGAUUGAUCCAGAAAUUGUUUUGUGAAUAUCAGAAAUAUGUCCUUAUUCUAAACUAGACUUGUUCAUGGGCCAGGCUUGGCUGGGCUUUUGCCCAAACAUCAACAUGAUUUACUUAGGCCCAGGCCUAUUCCAGCUUUUAGAAAAUGCAAGCCUUCUGCACACAAGCCUAGCCCUUACUCGGUUUCGAGCUUUGGCUGGACCUUGGGCUUGCUAACCAUUUUCUCCUCUUUUAGAAAAUACAAAAAAUCCUAAAAAUACAUGAAAGGAUACUAAAUAUUGCCAACAACCUACUACAUGCCUAUUAUCCCAUUAAGUCUACAAAUAUACCUAAUAUAAACACAACACGAAAAAAAUUAUGGUUGGUCCAGGCUCAAGCUGGGCUUUGAUCUCUAAUUCUGAGCGAGCCCAUUUAUUAAACUUGCCUAUUUUCUGGGCCAGGCUCAGCCAGUUGGGCCUAAAACUUGGCCCGAGCCUUCUCCCAAAGGGUGAAGAAUUGAGAGGGCUGGGUGACCUAUUCGAAACUAGGUUAAUCAUGGACUCAUAGGGAUCAAUUAGCCCAAGAAUAUUAUUAUAUAAAAGAGAAGGAAAUGUCAAACUUUACCUGAUAAUGGACUGGAGCUAUAAGUGCUACUGUUUUUCACUUGAUAUGAUAGUUUCAAUGGGCAUUAAAAAUGCAAAUCCUUUCUGAAUAGCUUGGAAAAUGUAUCAAGUAGGAUACCAUCACGUCAAACAAGUUGAUCUUCAAUAAUUUUGAGACAAUCAAAGUUUAGGGCCUGUUAGGGAUUUACUUUUUCUGUUUUAUGUUUUUAAAAACAAAAACAUGAAAGCCGAGAUGAAAAAAAUACAUUUGGCACUAUUGUUUUUUGUUUUAUAUUUAAAAAGUUACUAUUUAUUAUUUUUUAAAAAAUGAAUGCAAGUAAGUAUUGCUUUAAUAUUUUUUUUUAAAAAAAAACUCCAGUUUUUAAAGCAAAACAUCCCCCUUCUUGAGACCAUCUUCACCAUGAUUGCUGCUACUGCCUCUGCCCCCAUCAUUGCUCCCAACACUCCUGCCACAUCCACCACUGCCACUGCUACUGCCGCCGCCGCCACCACCACCCAAGCCACCACCGCCAAGGGUUGGAAGAGGGGCUGGUUUUUGAGUUUGUUUAUUUUCGUGUUUACAGAAACAAAAAUAAUUGAUUAGUUGUUUUUACUUUUAAAAAAAAAAAAAUAGAAACAAGAUUUGCUAUUUUGCUUCUUAGAAAAAUAGGAAAAGUAAUAGUGAUACUAAAUGCUAUACUAUUUUCCAUCUGUGCUACGGUUUUAGUUAAUGUUUUGAAGUCUAUUUUGAGGUCUGGAGUAAUAUGUUCAGACUCGAUAUGUCUGAUGACACUUCCUUUUUGAACACUUAGCUGCUCCUUAAUUGGUUUCAAUUACCAAAUCAGGACAGAGCCCUUGUUUAGCUUCUUACUUUGUUUCUUUUUCAAACCAAUAACUAUUUUAACUGGAGUUUCAAUGUGAUAUAUAAUGUAACUAAUGUGCUUGCUUCUUUUGCUGAUGUAAUGUUAGAUGCUCCUACCAGUAGCAAGACUUUUCCUUAUCAUAAACUAGUUAUGUAGUUCUUUGACUUUGUUUUGAGUUUAAUAGAUUGCUGUUAUUGAUAAGAACCCAAUGCUUUUCUUUGGUCACAAACCCAAUACUUUUUAUUCAGAUCAUUCUGGACGCAAUAGAGCAAGUGGGCGGAAUAUAUGUUGUCACGGCAGAUCAUGGAAAUGCUGAGGACAUGGUAAAGAGGAACAAAUCCGGCCAACCCCUCCUCGAUAAAAAGGGGGACAUUCAAAUUCUUACUUCCCAUACUCUUCAACCAGUAAGUAUACUGAAGGCCAUCUUCCUCUUCAUCUUUAACACCAAGAAUAACUUUAUAAUCUUUUAGUAUAGUUUAGUAUACAGUAAAAUAUUUGAAUGUUGAAGUUGCUAUUAUCUGAACAUCAGCGGUUGUUACUUAAGAACAAUGUGAGGUCUUCUGCUCGUUAAGCUAGAGUUUCUCAGGCCAUAUUGGUGUAGGAGAUCAUGUGCAUAAGUUUCGACAUUGCCACAUAUGCUGUUGCUUGUUUAAAAAUAUUGUGAUCUUAAUGGAAGUGUUAGAAGGUGGUUGUGAUCUUAAGGAAGACUUUGCAAAAUUUGGGCAUGCAUUGUGUGUCUAUCAAAUAGAAAUGACUGGGCACAACCCUUGGUGCUGUGGCUGGGGUGCAUUUUUGUCAAAUUAGAAUACUGAUGGUUGAUUGCCUUUACAGAGUGUAUCUGAAACAUCCUGUAUCUAGCAAAAACUUUCAUCAGGAAAUAGACAAGCAUGUGCAGCUCGUCGGUUUCGUAGUAUUGUUGACUUUUAAGAUGCAUUUAUCGGGUCAUGGAAGCUGGAGCCAGACAACAGUAUCAGUAACUAUAGCUUCAAGUUUUACUAUAAGCAUACUAUGGAUAGCUUGACCAGGAUGGCCUUUGUCUGGACUUGCAUGCUAUAGACUUCCCAGGAUGAUAUAGAUCACAUGAGUGUUUCAAGGUGGCAAGUAUUACCUUCAAGUAACUGGAGAACAUAAUGAGUUACAUUUUUUUCGGCACUAGGAGAGGUCAGAUGACAUUGGAAGAGAUUGGAGAAUUAGUGCAGCUGAUGAACUUCAGCUACUCCCCGACAAUUUUGGCCUUCAACCAAAUGUGGCUGGAAUGUAAAGUUUUUGAGAUAAGAUUGGCUGUAAUAAUGACUCAUUGGUUCCAUAAAUGGAUGGAUGUGCAUUUUUUACUUGGUCUCAUGAAUUCUAAGAAUCUCACAUCUUUCUCCUACCAAUAUUUUUCAAUUAGAUUUUUGCUAUUUAGAGAUCAAACAGUAGAUAUCCAAAUAGAAGAAAGAAGUAGAAGGAAAGGAGGAAUUUUGUGUGUAGAAGGGAAAAAAUAGAGGAGGAGAACUGAAAGGAGGACAUUGACUUGUCUUCCCAUUAGCCCAUGUUCUCUUGUUUUUAAGGUUUUUUAUUUUUUAUUUUUUUUAUUUUUUUCUUUUAAAACAUAAUUUUCUCUUGCAACACUGCUUGUUUUGUUAAGAUUUCAUUUUGUACUUGUGAUAUCAGAUGUUCAAGAGACAAGUAAAGGACAAGAGCGCUAACAUCUCAAACCUAGUCAUAAGAUUAAUUUUGGUGUAGCAUGUUAGUUUUGUAUUACACUUAUAUGACAGAUUAAUAUAGAAAAUCUAUUCACAGACUUUGUCCCAUCCCCCAACCCAUGAGGGCCUGCUUGGCAUCACUGCCAAUUUCCUGUUUUUGCUCUUCGUUUCUGAAAACAUGGAAAUGGGGGCUGGAAACUUGUUUUGCCUUUUUGAUUUCUGAAUAUACUUUUCAAAUUCUGAAAAAAGUGAAAGCUCUCGAGAGUAGCUUUUACGAGAGCUUUCACCCUUUUUUCUAUGAAAAAUGGAAACAAUGCAUAAUCACCAGCACCAUCUCUGUCGCCACCUCUGCCCGCCGGUUGCCGCGACUACCUAUGCCGUUGUCAUCGGUGCUUGCUGGCCAGCUGCAGCUGCCACAGUCCAAGUGAUUACCAAACAAGUUCUGGAUGUCAAUUUUCAAAAAAAAGAUAUAGAACUAGUUUUAGCUUUUACAAAAACUGAAAAUUGAAUGCUGAAAGUGCGGUCAAACAGAACCUAAGCUUUUGAUUGUUUUUUCGUUUGGUGGAAAAGCUUUUGAUAUCAAUAUUGCAAAAGCAUUUGUAAACAUGCUGUCCGUUUAUUUUUGAUAUCCUUUCCUUUUAUAUGGAUGUGAUUAACUUGCUUCAAAUUUGCAGGUUCCCAUUGCCAUUGGAGGCCCUGGCCUUGCACCUGGUGUCAGAUUCCGGAAUGAUGUACCUGAUGGUGGCCUUGCUAAUGUUGCUGCCACUGUUAUGAAUCUCCAUGGUUUUGAGGCUCCUAAUGACUACGAGCCAACCCUCAUUGAAGUAGUUGACAAUUGAAUGCAAUCUACUGAUAACUUAGCAUUAUAUUGGUCCAUUUGGAGUCUGACUCAAAUCUUGCUGCCAGUGCUUGUAGGUGUAGUAGGGAGGUCAAAAUAAAUUCUUUUUGUGAAACUUUAAUUUUUGCGAGCAGCAGAAAAGGUUCUGAUACACCUAUUGUGUGGUUGUUCUCCCAUGAUAUGACCCUCUUUAGGCAUAUCUUGAAUGUUUUUUUGCCUUAGAAAAUUAUUUGACUUGAAAUAGGCAAUCCAUUUUCUGUUAUCAUAUGAUUGUCUUUUCAUGCUCUUCUAUAUCUGCAUGCUUAAUCCUGUCCAAUCUUGAAUCUUAAUGUGGUGUUCUCAAACAGCAGUUGUUUUAUGUAUAAUCCAUGAGAAUUCAUCACUACCAGCUAUUCUUUUUGUUAGUAUGUAUUGGUGGGUUGAAUGCUUUUUCUGCCUUUCUUAUGGAGUUGAAACUUUUCUUGGUUCACAUCAACUGCCUUUGAUAGGAUGAUAUCAGGGCUUACAAGAAUAGAAGUCUAUGGCUUAAGCCUAUGUGCUGUGGGGCCUGUUGGAACUAAUGAUUUCAGAUACAUGCCAACUUCUCCUACCUGACCGUCAACCCAACAUUGAGAAAAGGAUAAUCUUUUAACUUGUUACAUUGCUUGUUCCUGAUUUGGCUUGAUAGGCUCUUUUAUGCAUAUUUAUCUUCAAAGCUUGGUUUUUCACUGGAUUUCUUAGAAACAAUAUUUUCAUUUGAGAUAUGUAAGUAGAAAAUUUAAUUGCAAGCAUCUAUGUAGAAAGCUGACUUAGCCCAUAUCCCAUAUGUGGUUAGAACUUGGAAGCCUUGAUUAUUUCAGAGCUAUCCAUGAGCGGGGGUUUGUGGUGUAUCUUAAGGAAGGCUAGGUUAAACAGUUGGAAUUAUUUUGUGACCCUCGUGAGCAUCUAUUUAGUUUGUUUAAGGUGAGCAUUGGAGAGCUUUUGGAUAUUCAUGCAAGAUCAAUACUCUCAACCCCUUUUAGGUGAGGCCUUGGGUCAUUACACCAUAUGCCCAAUGCGUAUGAUUAUUUGUAGCUUUAUAACAUUUAUGGCGUUAGAUAACUAUAAUCUCUCUCCUCCUUGCCCAUCUCUCUAAAUAAAAAUAUAAUAAUUAUAAUUAUCUUUUGCGCCUCUAUCAUAUUCUUUAUAUACUACUAAGCCACCAAAUAUAACUAUAAGGUGGUUAUUACAAUUGUAAAAGUGGCCAUUAAAAUAUGUUUGUGCACACGUGUGCGCCUUAUGUUUGUUUUUUUGGUAGUCAAAUAUGUGUGUUAUCAAGUUCCUUUAUUGCAAUGGAAGUAGUAGCUGUAUGAUCUACACAUUGUCAAACCAUACUAUAUUUAUAUAUCGUGUUAAAGUGUUCUUCCAUUGGCAUAUUAGUUUUGUAUUCCACUUUUGUGACAUAGGAUAAUAUAGAAAUUCUAUUCAUAUUCCAUAACCACACCCCCCCUCCCCCCACCCCCCAAAAAAAAAAAUCUCAUUACUUGCAGUAAAAAGUAAUUUUGAAAAUAAAAAAAUUAUUAUUAAAAUGCAAUUCGUAUUGUUCUAUCAUCCAUUAAUAUUUUUCAAACACGCUGGUGCAACAAUGAGAUGCUUGUAUGUAUCCUUUUUUGCAUUCCAUUCAUGCUAAAAACCUCUCUCAUCUCACCCUGCCGCCAGCUAGCCUGAAAAGGUAAUAAAAACUGUACCACAAAAAUCCGUUAUGUUCCCAAGUCCCAUACAUCCAUUACCUCGUUCUCGCCUCCCACGGCUCUCAGAACCGCGCCCGUUCUGCCUGCCGUUAAAUCGCCCUCGCUAAGACGAACAUGAGAGGGAGAGCAUUUGAAAUUUGAAAACACUGCUAACGUUGACACAACGCCUCUAUCGGCCAUGGCGUCCCUCACGCCGGGAGUCCUCGUGAAGCUCCUCCAGUCCAUGGACACUGAAGCCAAGGCCGUCGGCGAGCACCGCACCGCUGUUCUCCAGGUCAUCGGCAUCUUGCCCGCCCUCUCCGACUCCAGCGCCGACGACAUCUGGCCCUCCCACGGCUUCUACAUCCAGCUCUCCGACUCCGCCCACUCCAUCCACGUCUCCCUCUCCGACGCCGAUGCCGACGCCAUUCUCUCCAACCGGCCCCACCUCGGCCAGCUCGUCCACGUCGAGCGCCUCCACUUCGCCCACCCCGUCUCCCGCGCCUCCGGCGUCCACCUCCUCCCCGGCCGCCCCCACCACUUCCUCGGCUCCCCCGAGCUCUCAUCGCCCGCUCCCACCCCUCUCGCCGCGGCUUUGUCAUCCAGCCCGCCUCCCCCGCCGACGCUGGCCGUCCCCUCAUCCCCUCUUUCUCCGCCCUCAAGUCCAACCUGUUGUCCGAGGAGAACCCCUUCAGCGAAAAAAGAACCGUUUUUGCUGCCACAGAGAACCCGGGCGGAGAAAAAAGGACAGCUUUUGCUGCCAAGGAAAAUGUUGUCGGCGCCAACACCAAGGCCGCCGGAGAAUCCGCCUGCAAGCGAAGCUUCUCGUCAUCGUCCGGAGCUAAGCUGGCCACGAGGAAGAUCAACAGCGGGACAGGGGAGCAGAGGGACCCCUCCCCUGCUGUGGGACAAGGGAAGGCGAUGCCAUUCUCCCCUGCGUUGGGCGGAGCAGCGAGAGAAAGCUCGAGGUCUUCGUCACCGGUCCUUUCCAAGUGCGUUGUGCCAAGCCUGGUGGAAGCGAAAGAGGAGAAUCCGGGGGUGAAGAGGGAACCGGCCAUUAUAGCGCCAUGAAGGUACCGGGCAGCCCUCCCCAGCGGCAAGGAAGGCAGCGGCAUAGCCCAUUGGGAGAAGGAGCUCGAUGUCUCCUGGGAGGAGGCUCUCGGGAGGGCUGAAGGCAUGGCCGGCAGCUGGUGAGGGUGCUGGGAGUAAGAAGAAGGUGGGGUUAAUGGUUGCAGGGAUUUCCAAGGUUUCAGAUUCGCUGAGGGUGUCUGCUAAAUCAGUUAGGAAGAGCUGGGAUGAUUCGUCGGGGAAUUCUGCGGUCUCUUCGGAGCAAAAGGAAUGUUCCAAGUGUAAAGCGGACAGGGAAGCCAUUUUGAGAACCCAGGUAAAUUUUUUUGGUAGACUGAGAACCCAGGUAAUUGAUAUUUCUCGUUUGUUCCUCCCACCUUUGCAAAACAAACCUCAAGACCAUCUUUUCUUCUUUUCAUUUUUCGUUGUUCACUUGGUAUCAAAGCUCUAAUGGUUGAAUUCGUGAUAUUUAUUGGACUUAUAAUCUGCUGUAGAAGUCUCCUUUUUGACUGUUAUAUUUAGUUUUCUCUUAUUUUGCUAUCCUACAUUUCUUAAAACCUAAUUAAUGGUAUCUUUUUAUAUACCUAACACGGAUUUUGUAAGAGUAUGCACUCUUAUGUGUGUUCUUUUAAUCUGAAAAUUUUCAUAACCUAAUAUCCUUUGUAAUGAGAAAUAUAAUAUUUUCUAAAUUAAAAGACUGAUUUUUUUGAUUGGAUAUAUCUUCUUACACCGUCAUUCUUUCUAUUUGAAUCUUGGUAUCACUGGAAAGCUCUCAGAAUAAGCUUUCCAACGAUAUAUUUUAUGUAUUUUUUGGAUUGCAUGCCUCAGUGCGGUAGACAUUGCAUGUUUGCUUGAUGCACUCUGCACAUCCACGGGACAACAUGCCCCAAUACGGCUGGGUGCCAGGCAUCCAUAUGGCAUGCGCACUAGCUCAGUUAGGCGCUGCACAUCCACAUGGGCACACACCAGUGCAUUUGAGCAUUGUGUUUAGUGUAGCACGCAUGCAACAAUAUGUCCUAGGGAUGUUAAAAAAAAAGGAUUGUUUGCGUGUCAUGGAGCCACACAAUCAAAACACCAGAAGGAGGCUCAGACAAUGCAUGAGUGAUGAGGUUAAAAAAACAAAAGAAAAACCUCUCUCGCUAUUUAUGGCAUUGUCACAUGAUGUUAUUUGCUGAGUAAUUCUAUCUUUUAAUAUACUUUUAAUGGUUGGUUAUUUACAAAAAAAAAAUUUAAAGAAAAUAUUUAUGUAUAAGGUUGUUAAAUAUAAUAAUAUUAGUAUUAUAUAUAACAUGCAUAUAUUUUUUAAAGGAUUUUAAGUCCCGGUUUGAUUGUUGAUCGGGACUUAAGCUUUAAACCUCAUUGACCAUGACUUUAAUACCCAGUCCACAGUCAAAAAUAAACAUAACUCUCGAUCCCUAUAAUAUUUUUGAGGAUAUUUUUGCCCUUGGAAACAAAAGAAUCCAUAAAAUCCAUUGUAUGCUCCUUUUCCCAUGGCGAAAUCUCUUGUGACCCAUAGUGGCCCCCUUCUCCACUAUAAAAUCUCGUUGUGCCCUCCUUCCCCACCAUCAAAUCCCACCUGUCCCCCCUUCUCAAUCAUGAAAGACUCACCGCACUCACUUCCCCACCAUGAAAGUAUUAUCGUAUCACCUCUUUUCCCAUCGUAAAGCAUCCUCAUCGCAUCCUCUUCCCUAACGUAACAUCCAUCCAUUUUCUCUUUGAUGUAUGUCGAUGAGGAGGUAUUCUUCGUCCUCAUAUUGUCUCGACGUUCUAUUUCUUCUAUACAUGAAUGGUGCCUUCUCCCCUCUAUCCAUUCCAUUUCUUGUGUUUCCAAUUACAAUGAAAUCUCUGUCUCAUUAUCUAUUAAAGAUUUACAAGAAAUUCCUACAACCUCAACAAAUUGUAAAGCUAACAAUUUAAACUUUAAGUCAAUUGAUCUUUAUAGUAAUUUCAAAGUGAAUAGAACAAGUGUUUGUUAAAUUCAUUGUCUUUAACUGUAUACAAAAUUUAAAAAUUCAUUACAUAAUGUGUACAAAAAUUCAUUAUCAUUACUAUGUACUGACACAUAAUAUGUAUGUGUCAAAUGAAAAUUAAUAUGCGAGUUAUCUAACUAGGGUAAAGUAUAAAAAAUAUAAAAAAUUAAGAUUAUGUACAGACCUACCCCAUAUCAAUACCAGCCCUUGUGGCCUUCCUUGUGAUAGAAAGUGCAACUCCUCCCUAGGCUCUAUCCUCUCGAUUAUCUGAUAAGGAUAAAAACUUUAGUUAUGUAUCGGUUUGAUAUAUUUGUGAUGUUAGAUACAAAAUGUAUAUCUCAAAUCUUUUUAUUUUCUUUAUAACUUCAAUGAUCGCCCCCACCUUGUAGGAGAAUAGGACAUUGCUCCAAUAUAAGAGAUGGAAAUAGAUGAAUGAUGGUCUGUGCCUUCCAAGUAGACUAUUGGCAUACUUAAUAGCCCAUGCCUACACAAAUAAAGUGAUGUAAGCAUUAUAUUUUAAGUUAAUUCAACUCUCAAACAUUAACUUGCAAGUAAACAUAAACAAGCCUACCAUCAAAGUUACCAUACAUUCAUCCAUGUAUCCAGUAAAGCUUCUUUCGGCAUAUUUCUUCUGCUCACACUCUCUUUCUAAGCUAGAGAUUUGCUAUUGAAAGAAAGAAAAAGUUGCACAAUCCCAACUAUAUGAUCCUAGACAGUCCAAAUCAUCAAGAUAUGAACAUAAUGCUUUAGAAAAAUUGUAGUGUACAGUUGGGAAGAGGAUGGUUACAAAAAGAUGAAGAACCCAUAACUUAGUGAAGUUUUCUAUAUCUUGCAAUCCAGACUUUUCAAUAAGAUAUCAAUUUAUUUUUUACUAAAUUUUUAGUCAUUUUUUAUGAUCACCAUUGAAAAAUCAGGUGAUGAAGUCAGACUGAACCCUUCCUUUCCUAUACAACUCAACCUCAUCACUAGUGGCCCUCAAACUAAGGAUGAGGAUAAGGUUGGUCCUCACAAAAAAAACUAGAGUCUUAUCAAACCAAAAGCCCUCCUCAUUAUCCCAAAAGAAGAGCAGUGUAUCCAAUAAUGGCUUGCUUUGCUUGAUGUAUGGAAGUCAGAGCAAAUGGCCAAAUAGAAUACCAGCCAUCUUUGCCUUCUACUCUUCGGGCAUGGACUCCAUAAGUCUGUCAAUAACCCUAAUAUAGUGAUUGAAGUAACACUUUUCAUUAACCAUAUUUAUCGGACCAAUACAAAAAUUGCUUUGCCUCCCUUUAGACUUGUGAUCAUAAUACUCUGCAUCACCAAUCAAAUUCAAACAAUACAUGUUAGAAACAUCAUUGUAAUAUUUAUUAGACAUUAAUUAUUGAUCAUCGUAAUUCUAACAAACUAUAUUAACUAAUAAUGUAUUAGAACAAUCACACAACAAGGACAUGAAAUAUAAAUAUAACUAUAUGAAACAUGAGCUUUCUUUCUUCACUGAUAUCAUGGUACACGUUAUUUUAGCCUAGUACAUAGUCCAAUAAUGUAUACAAUUAAUCCAACACCACAUACAAUUAAUGUGUAUCAUUGUACACACUUAGUGUAUCAUGGCACACACUUAGUAUUGUACACACUUAAUAAUUUAAGCAUCAUGAGGUGCUGUAAUAAUUUAAGCAUAAUAAUUGCUAUAAGAACUAUUUUUACUCAUGUAUUCACCAUAUUAGGUCUUUCAUCUAUUGAAAUACAUGAUUCUAAUAGUAAUACCUGCUAUAUAAUUUAAUGAUAAGUGGCUCUAUAAGGGAUUUUUAGGAGAGACAAAAAAUUGUAUUAUCUAUGGAUAAUGAAUUUUUGUACAAUGUACAAUGUAGUUAAAGAAAAUAAUUAUUUGGAAAUGCUUUAUGCAUAUAGUUAAAUUUGUGUAUGAUGAAUUUUAUGGAGUUAAAUUUACAUUGUACAAAUAUGGUAUUGUACACAAUUAAAAACAAUGAAUUUGUAUGCGCAUUGUAUGAUGAAUUCUUGGAUUUUAUUUAUAGUUAAAGACAAUAAAAUUGACAAACUUCUUUCCAUUCAUUCUAAAAUUACUAUGAAAAAUCAAUUGAUUCAAAGUUUAGAUUGUUAGUGUUACAAUUUGUUUAAGUUGUAGGAAUUUCUUACAAAGCUUUAAUAAAUAAUGAGAUAUAGGGAUUUCAUUAUAAUUGAAAACAUAAAAAAUGGAAUGAAUUGAAGGGAGAGGGCAUCGCUCAUGCAUGGAAGAAAUAGAAUGUCAGGACAAUGUGAGGAUGAAGAUGACCUCCUCUUAAUGUAUGCCAGAGAGAAGAUGGAUGGACGUCACGGUGGGAAAGAAGAUGCGAUGAGGAUACUUUAUUGUGGGAAAAGGGGUAGUGCAAUAAUACUUUCACGGUGGAGAAGGUGGCACGGUGGAUUUUUCACGAUGGGGAAGGGCUAAUGGUGGCAUUUGAUGAUGAAAAAGUAAGGUACGAUGGGAUUUCAUAGUGGAGAAGGGUGCCAUAUGUCUCACAGGAUAAUUCGUGGUAGGAAAGUAAGGAUACAAUGAGAUUUAAGGAUUCUUUUGUUACUAAAGGCAAAAUGUCCUUGGGAAUAUUAUAGGGAUUGGGAGUUAUAUUUAUUUUUUGCUAUGGAUUGGAUAUCAGAGUCAUGAUCAACAGGGUUUAAAGCUUAAAUCCCAGUCAACAAUUGAAUCGAGACUUGAAAUCCCCUAUUUUUUAAUAAUCCUCUUAUGUGUAUGUAGUGAAAAAUGGGCAAUGAAUGGAAAAUAUUUAUUGAGAAUUUAAAAAUUAUAAAAUGAACCCUAAAUACACUUAGAUGUAUAUACAAAUAUUGGAUAAUUAAAUAAGAUUGUUUAGAUAUUAUGGAAUCAAUAUCCCUAUUCAAGAACAAAUUAUUAUUCCACUCAAUUUCCUAUCAACGGAAUGGAAAAGAAAAAUAUAGUAGUCGCUCUAUGAGAUACAAUGAGAUUUAAGGAUUCUUUUGUUACUAAAGACAAAAUGUCCUUGGGAAUAUUAUAGGGAUUGGGAGUUAUAUUUAUUUUUUGCUAUGGAUUGGAUAUCAGAGUCAUGAUCAACAGGGUUUAAAGCUUAAAUCCCAGUCAACAAUUGAAUAGAGACUUGAAAUCCCCUAUUUUUUAAUAAUCCUCUUAUGUGUAUGUAGUGAAAAAUGGGCAAUGAAUGGCAAAUAUUUAUUGAGAAUUUAAAAAUUAUAAAAUGAACCCUAAAUACACUUAGAUGUAUAUACAAAUAUUGGAUAAUUUAAUAAGAUUCUUUAGAUAUUAUGGAAUCAAUAUCCCUAUUCAAGAACAAAUUAUUAUUCCACUCAAUCUCCUAUCAACGGAAUGGAAAAGAAAAAUAUAGUAGUUGCUCUAUGAGAAAGAUAUAUGAAGGAAAAAGUUAAAUCUUCCUAUAAAAUAGUUUGUGAGCUUGAACUGGUUGAGACGUGCCGUAUAUUAUCUAGGAUUAGGCAUAGUGCAAUACUGUAUCAAUUUUCAAACUUUUGCAUGCAAAACACUUGGGCUAUUUAGGACGCGACAAAGAUCCUAGAUAUCUACGCAUGGUGGGUAGAGUGGGACACAAGAUCAUCCUAGAGUAAUUUAUCUUCAACAAAGGGAAUGUAUUGCCUUAUCGAGAGCAUAGAAGACUUAGCAAGAAUUAUGCUUUGAAAUAAUACUUUAUUUGAUUGCAGAGCAUGUGCCUUAAAGCUUUCUAUUCUUGUAAAUAGUCUUUUAUGCAUAUAACUAUGUAUGAACUUAAUUUUUAGUUCAUUAACGGCAUGUUAUGUAUUUUUGUUUAUAUUUGUUUAUUAAUUGCUAUUAUGAUAUGCUUAAAUAUAUUGUUCAGUAAGAAUUCUAAGAUUGGUUGAAUUCCAAGAAAGUUCUUGCUUAGAGCUUAUAAUUUUGAGUAAAUGAUAAUUAGACAUUUAAACAUGCAAGAUGAGUGGAAGCACAGAGAACUUUCGAUUAUGUAUCUUAUAUUAGGUUAUUAAUCACUUAAAAAAUAAUAUAUACAUAUUUUUUUUUGUGCUAGUAUUUAUUGUGUACCUUUCUCUAUGUAGUAAUAGUGAAUUGGUGUAUGUAUUUAAGCAUAUCGUGAUUGAGUUGAAUAAAGAUGAUAAGCUAAACAAUGAUAAUUAUGAUAUUUGGUACUAAAAAGUUUAGUAUAUCCUUGAGAAACAAGAGAUUCUAAAGUCACUUAACCAUACCAUGGCUAAGUUUGAGCAGGGUACUUUUACUCCACAUAAAAAAAAUCAUGAUGCCUAUUUGGCCUGGAAGAGGAAGAAUAGCGUUGUUCGCAUCACAUUGUUGAGUGGUAUGCAGAAUGAUCUCAUGUGUGAAUUUGAGAAGUACGACAUAGCUCAGAAAAUGUAGCUUGCUCUAAAAGAGAAGUUUAGAGGUACUUCAACUGCUAAGCUGAGAAGGCUUACUAUCAAGUUUGACUCCUAUAGGAAGCGACCAAGUAAUAUUAUGAGGCAACAUUUUAGAGAGAUGUCAAACAUGAUAAGGGAGUUGAGGGUAGCUGGCCACAUCCUCACUAACGAGCAAAAUGAUUAGGCUAUAAUUAGAACCUUACUCAAGAGCUGGGAGCAUAUGAUAAUUACUAUAAUGCACAAUGUUAAUAUAAAGGCUUUUGAUGACAUAGCACGUCCUUUGGAGCUGGAAGAUGAGAACUUUAAGGUAGCUAAAUCUUCUGGUUUAGGUUAUGUGGCUAAAUCUAGCUCAUGCAAGGUAGCUUCAAGCAUAAGAGGUUGGAAAUUCUCCAAAAUGAGUAAGGAAAAAGGGUAAGCAUCCAAAUUUGGUAAAGCUAAGCAGCAUAAGGGAGGCAAACAUGUGGUAAAAAGAAGGAUAAGCCUAAGAUAUGAUGCUUUAAAUGUCUAGUUAGCAUUGACUUACAACUAUUUGCUCAAAAUUUUAAAUUCUAGGUGAGAACUUUCUUAAGGCCUGUUUAAAUCCUAUAGGAUUCAUGAAUCAACCAUCAUAAGCAUUGGAUGAUAGGCUGCACUAGGUCUGUGUUUACCAUUAUCUUAGCUAAGCUCAUUUUUCCUCCAUAUGAGAUUUGGGCCAACCCAUUCAAAAUAUAUUAUAGGAUAGUUAUAAACAUAGACCUAGUCCAACCUAUAAUUUAAUAUGUUUGGUAGUUGUACUGGUCUAGCCCACGAAUCUCAUGGGCUUUUGGGCCUAACCAUCCAAACAGGCCCUUAAAAUUCUACCAACCUUAGAACUCUUAAUUAUAUAUUUAAGCACAAAAUUCUUUGUACAUCGACUGCGAUGUAGGAAAUCUGACAUGGACCGCACCGUCUCGUCCGAUUGAUCCACGUGACGUCCUCAUGACUCGAUGUGAUCGAACGUUUGCAGGCACGAGAAAAUGGAGGCGGUGCAUUGUCCCAUCAUCGAAUACAUUUAAUGCACAUCAUAAUUCAUUUUUCAAAUUUAACUCAAUUUUAAUAUGAUGAAAAUGCCCAUUUUCUUCAAGAUGAUUUUUUUACUAUCUUACUAUCUGGUUGGACAUUUUGAAUGCUACUCUUUUCUCUCUUUUUUCUUGAUUUGUUGAGCUUCUGUCCGUUCAAAAAAAAAAAUUUCAACCACAAUUCUACAUCCGAGGCUCUUGAGUAGCAUAUAGAUAAUAUACGUCCAUCCAAGCAACAUGUCCCAUCCAUCAGAAAGUAAAAUACUAUCUAUAUAUAUUUUUUAUGAUUUUGUGAUCAUUCUUUUAUUACGGUAGCUCUUUGGUAGUUAAGCGAAGUUAAUGUAUUAGUUAGGUUUCAAAUGGAGUUCUUUUUAGUUUUGAAUAUAGCAUUUCAUAAAAAUAUUAUCUGAAAGCAUAAUAAGUUAGGAUAUCAUGACAUUCUAGAUUGAUAUUAUGACAUAAGCUCGAAAGUAUACUUUUGGAUAGUUUUAUGAUAUCUUGAGUUGAAUUUAUGACAUUCGACGUCAAAAUUAUGACAUCUUAUACUUAAAACACCUACCGAAGGUGGUUUUGACUAUAUUAUGACAUUCCAGAUCAAAAUGAUGACAUUAUACGUCAAUAUUAUGGCAUCUCGUAGGUAAAAUAAAAUAGAAGAGUUUUUUUUUGAUAUUUUUAUGACAUCCUGGAUCGAAAUUAAUUAUGACAUCCUAUAUUCAGAUUAUGACAUCCUGUAGAUAGAAUGCAAAUCGAUGGUAGUUUUGAUAAUAUUAUGAUAUUUUAGAUCCAAAUGAUGACAUCAUAUGUCAAUAUUAUGACAUCCUGUAGGUAAAGUAAAAUUUUAAAUUUUUUUUGAUAUUUUUAUUAUAUUCUGUAUCAAAAUUAUGACAUUCGACGUUAAAAUUAUGAUAUUUUGUAUGUAAAACAUCUUUCGAACGUAUAUUUUCAUAUUUUUAUGACAAUAUGGGUCAAAAUUAUAAUAUUAUAUAUCAAUAUUCUGAUAUCUUAUAUGUAAAAUAAAAUAAUUUUUUUUUUGAUAUUUUUAUAAUAUCCUGUGUCAAAAUUAUGAUAUUCGACGUUAAAAUUAUGACAUCCUAUACGUAAAUCACCUGUCGAAGGGAUAUUUUGAUAUUUUUAUGAUAUUUCAAAUCUGAAUUAUGAUAUUAUAUAUCAAUAUACUGACAUCCUAUAGGUAAAAUAAAAUAAAAUUUUUCUUUUUGAUAUUUUUAUGAUAUUCUGGGUGAAGAUGAUGACAUUCGACGUAAAAAUUAUGACAUGCUGUAGGUAAAACAUCUAUCGAAGGUAGUUUUGACGAUAUUAUGACAUUCCAGAUCAAUAUUAUGAUAUUCUAUAUCAAUAUUAUGAUAUUUUAUAAAAAAAUAAAAUUAAAAAAUAUUUUUGAUAUUUUUAUGAUAUUGUAUGUAAAAAUUAUGAUAUUCGACAUUACAAUUAUGACAUCCUGUACGUAAAACACCUUUCGAAUAUAUAUUUUAAUAUUUUUAUGACAUCGUGGGUCAAUAUUAUGAUAUUCUAGAUUAAUAUUAUGAUAUUCUGUAGUAAAAUAAAAAUAAAAAAUUUAUUUUUGAUAUUUUUAUAUCAUUCUGUAUCAAAAUUAUAAUAUUUGACAUUAAAAUUAUGACAUCGUGUAUCCAAAAUGCCUACUGAAGAUAAUUUUGAUGAUAUUAUAACAUCUCAGAUCCAAAUGGUAAUAUUAUAUAUCAAUAUUAUGAUAUUUUAUAAAUAAAAAAAUAAAAAAAAUUUUUUGAUAUUUUUAUGAUAUUCUGGAUCGAAAUUAUGACAUUCUAUGUUAAAAUUAUGACAUUCUGUAGGUAAAACGCCUAUUGAAGGUAGUUUCGAUAAUAUUAUGAUAUUUUAGGAAGGAGUUAUAAUAUUAUAUGUUAGUAUUAUGAUAUUCUAUAGGUAAAAUGCCUAUCAUCUAUGGAUUUUUUAUAUUUUUAUGAUAACGAG